UACAGAGGUGGCAAGCGUUGUUCGGAAUUACUGGGCGUAAAGGGCGCGUAGGCGGCCUUCUAAGUCAGACGUGAAAUCCCCCGGCUUAACCUGGGAACUGCGUCUGAUACUGGGAGGCUCGAGUAUGGGAGAGGGAUGUAGAAUUCCAGGUGUAGCGGUGAAAUGCGUAGAUAUCUGGAGGAAUACCAGUGGCGAAGGCGGCAUCCUGGACCAUUACUGACGCUGAAGCGCGAAAGCUAGGGGAGCAAACGGG
rnacentral:rRNA from 1 species